rnacentral:rRNA from 1 species
AACGAACGCUGGCGGCAGGCCUAACACAUGCAAGUCGAGCGCGCCCUUCGGGGUGAGCGGCGGACGGGUGAGUAACGCGUGGGAACGUGCCCUUUUCUACGGAAUAUCCUCGGGAAACUGAGAGUAAUACCGUAUACGCCCUUUGGGGGAAAGAUUUAUCGGAAAAGGAUCGGCCCGCGUUGGAUUAGGUAGUUGGUGGGGUAAUGGCCUACCAAGCCGACGAUCCAUAGCUGGUUUGAGAGGAUGAUCAGCCACACUGGGACUGAGACACGGCCCAGACUCCUACGGGAGGCAGCAGUGGGGAAUCUUAGACAAUGGGGGCAACCCUGAUCUAGCCAUGCCGCGUGAGUGAUGAAGGCCUUAGGGUUGUAAAGCUCUUUCAGCUGGGAAGAUAAUGACGGUACCAGCAGAAGAAGCCCCGGCUAACUCCGUG